rnacentral:rRNA from 1 species
AGAGUUUGAUCAUGGCUCAGGACGAACGCUGGCGGCGUGCCUAACACAUGCAAGUCGAACGGGGUCCAACUGGUGGCAACACCAGGGAAGAUCUAGUGGCGAACGGGUGCGGAACACGUGAGCAACCUGCCCCAAAGACCGGGAUAACAGCGGGAAACCGCCGCUAAUACCGGAUGUCCCCACGAGCUCGCAUGGGCUUGUGAGGAAAGGAUUCCGCUUUGGGAGGGGCUCGCGGCCUAUCAGCUAGUUGGUGAGGUAAAGGCUCACCAAGGCAACGACGGGUAGCUGGUCUGAGAGGACGAUCAGCCACACUGGGACUGAGACACGGCCCAGACUCCUACGGGAGGCAGCAGUGGGGAAUCUUGCGCAAUGGGCGAAAGCCUGACGCAGCAACGCCGCGUGGGGGGAUGAAGGCCUUCGGGGUUGUAAACCCCCUUUCAGUGGGAACGAAAUUGACGGGUACCCACAGAAAGAAGCCCCGGCCAACUACGUGCCAGCAGCCGCGGUGAUACGUAGGGGGCGAGCGUUGUCCGGAUUCAUUGGGCGUAAAGAGCUCGUAGGCGGCUUAGUAAGUCGGGUGUGAAACCCCCAGGCUCAACCUGGGGACGCCACUCGAUACUGCUAUAGCUAGAGUCCGGUAGGGGACCACGGAAUUCCUGGUGUAGCGGUGAAAUGCGCAGAUAUCAGGAGGAACACCGGUGGCGAAGGCGGUGGUCUGGGCCGGCACUGACGCUGAGGAGCGAAAGCGUGGGGAGCGAACAGGAUUAGAUACCCUGGUAGUCCACGCCGUAAACGUUGGGUACUAGGUGUGGGACCUUAUCAACGGGUUCCGUGCCGCAGCUAACGCAUUAAGUACCCCGCCUGGGGAGUACGGCCGCAAGGCUAAAACUCAAAGGAAUUGACGGGGGCCCG